GGAUGGUUUUGUCUGCAGAGCCUACCUGGAAAAGAUGCUUCGAGGUGGGCUGUAACAACUGAAGUGUAACCUGCUGAGCAUUUCUUACUGGAACCAUCUGACCAGCUCUGUGUUAGACACGGAGGGAGCAGAUCCCAUGUGUCAUAGCAUCCUCGAAGCAGAAGUCAUGUCAUAAAGGAGCUUCUUCUGAUGACUCUCCCCAGUUGGACUGAGGUUAACACCUUGGCUGUCUGCAUCUCUAGUUCAUAGCAUGGAGAAGGUGCUGUGCUUCCUCACUAAACAUCUGUGCUCUUUGCGCCUCAACAGCCAGUAAACAAUGUGACUCAGAAAAUGAAAUCAGAUUUUUUUUCUCUUUAAACUGGAACGUGUAAUUAUUGGAGAUGACAAUCUUCCAUUUCUUGGAAGAGGGCAAAGAAUCUUAGCUGGGAUUUCCUUAAUAUGACUCAGUUUAAUACUCAAUUCAUGGAAAUCAGUGAGAAGCAAAGUAGCUGUCUGGUCCUCA